AUUGAACGCUGGCGGAAUGCUUUACACAUGCAAGUCGAACGGCAGCACGGGCUUCGGUCUGGUGGCGAGUGGCGAACGGGUGAGUAAUGUAUCGGAACGUGCCCAGUCGUGGGGGAUAACGUAGUGAAAAUUACGCUAAUACCGCAUACGAUCUAUGGAUGAAAGCGGGGGAUCGCAAGACCUCGCGCGAUUGGAGCGGCCGAUAUCAGAUUAGGUAGUUGGUGGGGUAAAGGCCCACCAAGCCAACGAUCUGUAGCUGGUCUGAGAGGACGACCAGCCACACUGGAACUGAGACACGGUCCAGACUCCGACGGGAGGCAGCAGUGUGGAAUUUUGGACAAUGGGCGACAGCCUGAUCCAGCCAUUCCGCGUGCAGGAUGAAGGCCCUCGGGUUGUAAACUGCUUUUGUACAGAACGAAAAGGUUUCUACUAAUACUAGGAGCUCAUGACGGUACUGUAAGAAUAAGCACCGGCUAACUACGUGCCAGCCGCCGCGGUAA
rnacentral:rRNA from 1 species